UCUUCCCCUGCCGCUCUUCUCUCUGUCUCUCAAUCCCCAAAAUCCCAACGCCGGUGACUGUGAUUGAGGUGCGCCGCGAGCGGGGAGCUGCGUCCAUGAAGCGCCACCACGACGAGCUGCGCCCGCGGCCACGGCGAGCUGCGCGCCUGCGCCCAUCGAGCGAGGUCGUGGAGCGGCCGGCCUGUGGCGGAGGCCGUUUGUGUCCUCGGCCGACGAUGAUGCGCAGAGGGGACGCGCUGGGGACCCUGUGCUGGAACCGGCAUGGGGAUCUGCUUCAACCAGCGGCGGGAUUUGCUUCAACGGCGAAGAUGGUGGUGGACGGCGACAACGGUGGCCGUCGUGGAUGGAACAAUGUAGGGCGACCACGGCCGCAGGUGCCAUGAUUUUUGCUGCACAGAUUUUUUGCUGGAACCAGCAUUUUUAACUUGUUGCAAUCGGCAAGGAUGAUGCUGGGGCAGCUACGGCGACGACGCCAUGAUUUUUUUGUUUGCUGCAUUGAUCUUUUUUCUUCUUCUGAGGAACCAUUUUUCAUUUUUGCUGGAACUAUAUCAAUUUUUUGUUGGAACCAUGUGUGCUUUUUGCUGGAACCAUAUCAAUGUAUUUCGCUGGAAUCAUAGCAUUUUUGCUGCAACCACAUUAUUAUUUGCUGGAACCAUAUUAAUUAUUUGCUGGAACCAUGUGUUUUGCUUUCAAGCUGGCGUUGCUUUGUUUUUUCUGCUGCAACCGACGAGCAGCGAUGCCGACGGCGAGCGACGAGCGUUGGGGAACCAGCGGAGCUUCCAGGUCGGGCGGGCAUAAAGGUCGCGCGGGCAUGGAUCGAUGACACUUUUUGUGUUUUGUUUCCUUGUGCGUGCGGGAAAGGACAGGAAAAGGGAAGGAAGAGGAGGCGAGAUCUGACGGUUCGCUACUUCCAAAUCCGAUGGCUAGCAGCGGACCGGCCGAAAGAUUAGGCCGGUGCGCCGGCGCGUAUCGUUGCCCUAAUGAGAUAGUCUUGAAGCUGGAGCCAUUCUAAUAGCACAUGCCUUCUUGUUUGCCUUCCUUCUUUCGUUUUUUUUUAUCUUGCCUGUAUGCACUUUGACAUGUAUCUUUAAUUUCUUUCUGCAUUGCCAUGAGAUGAGCUAGAUUCAUAGCUCGAACCAGCAGCAACCCGCACAUGUAUGACGAGCAUUGUUGUAAUCAAAAGGUUUCUUAUCUUUGUGAA